rnacentral:tRNA from 1 species
GGGAGCGGAUCGGUCACUGGUGGACCGCUCGGUCUUCAAAACCGAUGUGGGGUGCUGAGAGGCGCUCCAGGUGGGUUCGAUUCCCACACGCUCCC